AGGUGCGAUCAAACCACCACUAGUGCACCGCAUCGCAUCAGAACUCUACAGAUAAGCGUGCUUGGGAGAGAUUAGUACUAGGAUGGGUGACCUCCUGGGAUGUCCUCGUGUUGCACCUC
rnacentral:rRNA from 2 species